rnacentral:rRNA from 1 species
UCUUCCACCAUGGACGCAAGUCUGAUGGAGCAACGCCGCGUGAGUGAAGAAGGGUUUCGGAUCGUAUAGCUCUGUUGUUUGUGAAGAAGGAUAGAGGUAGUAACUGGCCUUUAUUUGACGGUAAUCAACCAGAAAGUAACGGCUAACUACGUGCGAGCAGCCGCGGUAAUACGUAGGUGGCAAGCGUUGUCCGGAUUUAUUGGGCGUAAAGCGAGCGCAGGCGGAAGAAUAAGUCUGAUGUGAAAGCCCUCGGCUUAACCGAGGAAUUGCAUCGGAAACUGUUGUUCUUGAGUGCAGAAGAGGAGAGUGGAACUCCAUGUGUAGCGGUGGAAUGCGUAGAUAUAUGGAAGAACACCAGUGGCGAAGGCGGCUCUCUGGUCUGCAACUGACGCUGAGGCUCGAAAGCAUGGGUAGCGAACAG